AGUGAACGCUGGCGGUAGGCCUAACACAUGCAAGUCGAACGGCAGCACAGUAAGAGCUUGCUCUUACGGGUGGCGAGUGGCGGACGGGUGAGGAAUACAUCGGAAUCUACUUUUUCGUGGGGGAUAACGUAGGGAAACUUACGCUAAUACCGCAUACGACCUACGGGUGAAAGCAGGGGAUCUUCGGACCUUGCGCGAUUGAAUGAGCCGAUGUCGGAUUAGCUAGUUGGCGGGGUAAAGGCCCACCAAGGCGACGAUCCGUAGCUGGUCUGAGAGGAUGAUCAGCCACACUGGAACUGAGACACGGUCCAGACUCCUAUGGGGGGCAGCAGUGGGGAAUAUUGGACAAUGGGCGCAAGCCUGAUCCAGCCAUACCGCGUGGGUGAAGAAGGCCUUCGGGUUGUAAAGCCCUUUUGUUGGGAAAGAAAAGCAGCAGGUUAAUACCCCGCUGUUCUGACGGUACCCAAAGAAUAAGCACCGGCUAACUUCGUG
rnacentral:rRNA from 1 species